AACCAGCUGUUCAAGUGGUCGGGCCAAUUAUUGGGCUUAAAGUGUCCGUAGCCGGUUUGGCAAGUUCCUGGUGAAAGCUGGUAGCUUAACUAUCAGUAGGCUAGGAAUACUACCUGACUUGAGGGUGGGAAAGGUCUGAGGUACUCCGGGGGUAGCGGUGAAAUGCGAUAAUCCUUGGGUGACCACCAGUGGCGAAGGCGUCAGACUGGAACACGCCUGACGGUGAGGGACGAAAGCCAGGGGAGGGAACGGG
rnacentral:rRNA from 1 species